rnacentral:rRNA from 1 species
AGUGAACGCUGGCGGUAGGCCUAACACAUGCAAGUCGAACGGCAGCACAGUAAGAGCUUGCUCUUACGGGUGGCGAGUGGCGGACGGGUGAGGAAUACAUCGGAAUCUACUUUUUCGUGGGGGAUAACGUAGGGAAACUUACGCUAAUACCGCAUACGACCUACGGGUGAAAGCAGGGGAUCUUCGGACCUUGCGCGAUUGAAUGAGCCGAUGUCGGAUUAGCUAGUUGGCGGGGUAAAGGCCCACCAAGGCGACGAUCCGUAGCUGGUCUGAGAGGGUGAUCAGGCACACGGGAAGAGAGACAGAGUCCAGACUCCUAGAGGAGGCAGCAGUGGGGAAUAUUGGACGAUGGGCGAGAGCCUGAUACAGCCAUACCGCGUGAGUGAAGAAGGCCUUCGGGUUGUAAAGCCCUUUUGUUGGGAGAGAAGAGCAGCAGGUUAAUACCCCGCUGUUCUGACGGUACCCAAAGAAUAAGCACCGGCUAACUUCGUG